GAAAUCCCAGCACAGUCUAAUCAUGGUUAAGGUUUAUUAAUUUAAUCCAACUUUGAGUAUGGGGGUAGAAGGAUUGGUUCAUUGAUGAUUUCAUUCACAGCGCUAACCAUCUUGUGUGGACUUGAAUACUUAUCAUCACCCAUGUAGAAGAGGUGCAAGACCUUGCUCAUCUUCCAAAACAAAUCUUUGCAAUCUUUAGGAACCACGCUUCCUUUUGUUUGCUGAACCAUUCUCAGUAAUUCUCUUCUAUGGCUCUCUAUGAGUCUUGUAACCUCCUCCUGAGCCUCCUUUUCAGUUACGGCUCCACGACCAUGUACUAUGGCUAAUGACACACUAUUAAGUUUUCCUUGUGCACCUUCUCUCGCAACGG
rnacentral:misc_RNA from 1 species